rnacentral:rRNA from 1 species
GACGGAGGGCGCAAACGUUGUUCGGAAUCACUGGGCGUAAAGGGCGCGUAGGCGGGUUGGUAAGUCAGACGUGAAAUCCCGGGGCUCAACUCCGGGCCUGCGUUUGAAACUGCCAGCCUAGAGUGCAGGAGAGGAAGGCGGAAUUCCAGGUGUAGCGGUGGAAUGCGUAGAUAUCUGGAAGAACACCAGUGGCGAAGGCGGCCCUCUGGACUGACACUGACGCUGAGGCGCGAAAGCUAGGGGAGCAAACAGG